GGGGAAUAUUGGGCAAUGGGCGCAAGCCUGACCCAGCAACGCCGCGUGAAGGAAGAAGGCUUUCGGGUUGUAAACUUCUUUUAAGUGGGAAGAGCAGAAGACGGUACCACUUGAAUAAGCCACGGCUAACUACGUGCCAGCAGCCGCGGUAAUACGUAGGUGGCAAGCGUUGUCCGGAUUUACUGGGUGUAAAGGGCGUGCAGCCGGGCAUGCAAGUCAGAUGUGAAAUCUCAGGGCUUAACCCUGAAACUGCAUUUGAAACUGUAUGUCUUGAGUGCCGGAGAGGUAAUCGGAAUUCCUUGUGUAGCGGUGAAACGCGUAGAUAUAAGGAAGAACACCAGUGGCGAAGGCGGAUUACUGGACGGUAACUGACGGUGAGGCGCGAAAGCGUGGGGAGCGAACAGGAUUAGAUACCCUGGUAGUCCACGCUGUAAACGAUGGAUACUAGGUGUGCGGGGACUGACCCCCUGCGUGCCGCAGUUAACACAAUAAGUAUCCCACCUGGGGAGUACGAUCGCAAGGUUGAAACUCAAAGGAAUUGACGGGGGCCCGCACAAGCGGUGGAUUAUGUGGUUUAAUUCGAAGCAACGCGAAGAACCUUACCAGGUCUUGACAUCCUGCUAACGAAGUAGAGAUACAUUAGGUGCCCUUCGGGGAAAGCAGAGACAGGUGGUGCAUGGUUGUCGUCAGCUCGUGUCGUGAGAUGUUGGGUUAAGUCCCGCAACGAGCGCAACCCCUAUUGUUAGUUGCUACGCAAGAGCACUCUAGCGAGACUGCCGUUGACAAAACGGAGGAAGGUGGGGACGACGUCAAAUCAUCAUGCCCCUUAUGACCUGGGCUACACACGUAAUACAAUGGCGGUCAACAAAGGGAUGCAAAGCCGCGAGGCAGAGCGAACCCCAAAAAGCCGUCCCAGUUCGGAUCGCAGGCUGCAACCCGCCUGCGUGAAGUCGGAAUCGCUAGUAAUCGUGGGUCAGCAUACCACGGUGAAUACGUUCCCG
rnacentral:rRNA from 1 species